GACGAACGCUGGCGGCGUGCUUAACACAUGCAAGUCGAACGGAAAGGCCCUGCUUUUGUGGGGUGCUCGAGUGGCGAACGGGUGAGUAACACGUGAGUAACCUGCCCUUGACUUUGGGAUAACUUCAGGAAACUGGGGCUAAUACCGGAUAGGAGCUCCAGCUGCAUGGUGGGGGUUGGAAAGUUUCGGCGGUUGGGGAUGGACUCGCGGCUUAUCAGCUUGUUGGUGGGGUAGUGGCUUACCAAGGCUUUGACGGGUAGCCGGCCUGAGAGGGUGACCGGCCACAUUGGGAUGGGGAUACGGCCCAGACUCCUACGGGAGGCAGCAGUGGGGAAUAUUGCACAAUGGGCGGAAGCCUGAUGCAGCAACGCCGCGUGCGGGAUGACGGCCUUCGGGUUGUAAACCGCUUUCGCCUGUGACGAAGCGUGAGUGACGGUAAUGGGUAAAGAAGCACCGGCUAACUACGUG
rnacentral:rRNA from 1 species